rnacentral:rRNA from 1 species
UACGUAGGGGGCUAGCGUUGUCCGGAAUCAUUGGGCGUAAAGAGCGUGUAGGCGGUCCGGUAAGUCCGCUGUGAAAGUCGGGGGCUCAACCUCGAGACGCCGAUGGAAACCCCCUAACUAGAGUCCGGAAGAGGAGAGUGGAAUUCCUGGUGUAGCGGUGAAAUGCGCAGAUAUCAGGAAGAACACCCGUGGCUAAGGCGGCUCUCUAGUACGGUACUGACGCUGAGACGCGAAAGCGUGGGGAGCGAACAGG